UGGGGGAUAUUGCACAAUGGGCGAAAGCCUGAUGCAGCGACGCCGCGUGGGGGAUGAAGGCCUUCGGGUUGUAAACUUCUUUUGCUCUGAACAAGGCGCACCAUGGGGUGUGUUGAGUGUAGGGGUUGAUUAGCGCCGGCUACCUACGUGCCAGCAGCCGCGGUAGUACGUAUGGCGCGAGCGUUGUCCGGAAUUAUUGGGCGUAAAGGGCUUGUAGGUGGCUGGUUGCGUCGGUCGUGAAAGCUCAUGGCUUAACUGUGGGUUGGCGGUGGGUACGGGCUGGCUUGAGUGCAGUAGAGGAGGCUGGAAUUCCUGGUGUAGCGGUGGAAUGCGCAGAUAUCAGGAGGAAUACCGGUGGCGAAGGCGGGUCUCUGGGCUGUUACUGACACUGAGGAGCGAAAGCAUGGGAAGCGAACAGG
rnacentral:rRNA from 1 species